CCUCUUGUCUUCCUCUUUGACGCCGCGUGUUACAGGUUUCGCGUUUUUUCGUGGUGCGUUGUAAGUUACAUUUCACGCAUUUUAAUGUCAAACGUCACUUAAAUUGACGAAGUAAUCAGUGACUAUGUGCAGACUAAUGUAAGAUAUUCUAUCUAGACGUUUGAAUUUGAAGGCUUUAUAUGACUUGAAAGCUAAUUAACAUGGCGAGUAGACAUGCCUGACAUGCUGUUUAACGCACGGUGCCCUGCCGAGUACACUAGCCAGGCCAUUCAAUUCUAGGCAAUAGGCCCCUCGCGCUUAAGCGCAACGCGUAGAUGGCCCUAUCAACUACAAUGUCUGGGCCUGGAAUAAUUGUUGAAUACUUUUUGACUCUUAGUCAUUUUUCUUUUUUUUCGUACUCAAGAUAGGGAAAAUGGUCAAGAUGUCCAGAAAUCUGAUGUCCUUCAAAUGGAGGAGGAUGUGCUGAAGUUCCUGGCUGCAGGAACUCAUCUGGGAGGAACUAACAUGGACUUUCAGAUGGAGCACUACACCUACAAGAGGAAGCGGGAUGAUGGAGCACAUUUGGGCAGGGUAAACUGGACACAGAUCUGGGUGUACUGACUGCCCCUUGUCCUCAGGUGUGUACAUCAUCAACAUGAGGAAUACCUGGGAGAAGCUACUGCUGGCAGCCCGUGCCAUUGUUGCCGUGGAGAACCCAGCUGACGUCUGCGUCAUCUCCAUGAACACUGGACAGUUACAGCUUCAGCUGGCAGCGUAGUGGACACGAGAGCUGUGCUGAAGUUUGCCUCGGCCACUGGUGCCACGGUCGUUUCAUCCCCGGAACCUUCACUAAUCAGAUCCAGGCUGCCUUCAGGGAGCCCCGCCUCCUAAUCGCAACGGACCCUCGUGCCAACCACCAGCUGAAGCCUCUUAAGUCAACAUCCCCACCAUUGCCCUGUGCAACACUGACUCCCCACUCCGAUAUGUCGACAUCGACAUCCCCUGCAACAACAAGGGUCACCACAUCAGACCCAGAGUGGUGGAUGCUGUCCAGGGAGGUGCUGAGGAUGAGGGGUACCAUCUCCAGGGAGCACCCAUGGGAGGUCAUGCCUUAUCUCUAAUUCUACAGGGAUCAGAAGUAAGAAGCAGGCCUUUUAGACACCUACUUAAACCAUUAUACACCAAAUUUACUGGUAAGACAAGCUUACCUUCUCAACAGUAAUGGAUCUUGCAUGUUCUGUUCGCCUUGUUAGCCUGCCGCUCAUUGUUUUACCUGUCAGAUUGAGAAGGAGGAACAGGCUGAGUCUGAGAAAGCUGUUGGAAAGGAGUUCCAGAGAGAGUGGACUGCUCCAGCAGCUGAGUUCACCCAGCCUGAGGUUGCUGACUGGUCUGAGGGAAUGGCUGUGCCCUCUGUCCCCAUCUAGCAGUUCUCUGCAGCUGCUGCUCCUGCCAAGCCAGCUGCUGAGGGGUUCACUGAUGACUGGAGUGCCCAGCCAGCCACUGAGGAUUGGUCAGCUGCCCCUACUGUCCAGGCCUCUGAAUGGGGUGGGGAGACUGCUGCUUGGUCCUAAGUAAUAGUGGCCUGAUGUUUAACAGUACAAUAAGUUGCUUUUUUGUUGUACAAACUGGCCCCUGACAAUUUAAACACUACAGUGUAGUAGGCAAGUGACAACGGCAAUACAUGAAUAUUAACACAACUGUUAUGCUUACAUUUCACAUUGAAAGAACUUACUAACAUUUAAUUAGACUGUUGCCUUAUGUUGAGCCCUCUUAAUGCUGACAAAAGGGGUACAGCUCUUUAAUUAAACUGUUGGGUUAUUCUGCCUUGAAGCUUUCAGAAAUUAAAACUUACUGAAACACCA